rnacentral:rRNA from 1 species
UACGUAGGGUGCAGGCGUUAAUCGGAAUUACUGGGCGUAAAGGGCGCGUAGGCGGCCAUCUAAGUCAGACGUGAAAUCCCCCGGCUUAACCUGGGAACUGCGUCUGAUACUGGAAGGCUUGAGUGCGGGAGAGGGAUGUGGAAUUCCAGGUGUAGCGGUGAAAUGCGUAGAUAUCUGGAGGAACACCGGUGGCGAAGGCGGCAUCCUGGACCGACACUGACGCUGAGGCGCGAAAGCCAGGGGAGCAAACGGG